CAACUACUCCCUCUGUCCCAAAUUUCUUGUCUUAGAUUUGUCUAGAUACGGAUGUAUCUAAUACUAAAAUGUGACUUGAUACAUAUGUAUCUAGACAAAUCUAAGACAAUAAUUUUGGGACGGAGGGAGUACUUU
rnacentral:pre_miRNA from 1 species